AGAACACUGACAGGGCCACCUGUGACAGAGUGGCCGUGCCCUGCACAAGAAAACACCGUUUCCAAGCUGAUUAUUACUGCCCUUAUCAGUGGCCACUGUCAGGGCUCCUGAUGCACUGCUGGGCUGGGCAAGAGGCUCAGCAGCUUCGAGCAGCCACAAGCUGGAUGAAGGUGGUCAUGGAGAAGAGGCAUGGCAAGUGAGGGCUCACCCUGUGGGUGCACACUCAUGUGCUGCCUUCGUGUUUGGAAACUUUCAUUUAUAAUGCUGUGGAUGUGCUGCCAGCACAGGAGAGACGGCAGCUCGGCAGUGCCCGGUCAGUGUCCUCGUGCCCGGGCUGUGACAGUGGCUGGGAACGCUGCUGACAACACCUGAGAGGCUGCCGAGCCUUUCUCAGAAAUUAAAAAAUGCAGU